CUGCCAGUAGUCAUAUGCUUGUCUCAAA
rnacentral:rRNA from 1 species